AGCUGCACCACUAGAAAGAUGGCGGAGCAAGAAGAAUGUUGCUUUGCUUCGCAUUGUGGAACACGGGGAAAUAAGCUAUAUCAGUUGUCACUUAUGAAUUACUGUUCUAAAAGUAAAAAUGUAUGGAGGCACAAGAUGAUGAUGAUGGUCUGUCUUCUCUGUAGCAGAAGAAAGGAAAAGGGCUCAGGUUUAAGCGACUGGAAUCAUUCCUACAUGAUUCCUGGCGGCAGAAACGUGACAAGGUGCGUCUCAGACGACUAGAAGUGAAACCUCAUGCCUUGGAAUUGCCAGAUAAACAUUCCUUGGCCUUUGUUGUACGCAUCGAAAGGUAAGGAACUGGUGUCUUUCUAAUUGCAUGAGGCUGGGGCAAAGUGUUGCUUAAGCUUUAGACCCCUUUCUAGGGAGAUAAUAGGCCCCAAGCCACUCAGGCAAAUCGUGCUAGGAUGUCAGGGUUGAGCACAAUUUAGUCUGCAAUAUUUGGAAGACCUUA
rnacentral:sRNA from 1 species